rnacentral:rRNA from 1 species
UACGUAGGGUGCAAGCGUUGUCCGGAAUUAUUGGGCGUAAAGAGCUCGUAGGCGGUUUGUCGCGUCUGCUGUGAAAACUCGGGGCUUAACUCCGGGCCUGCAGUGGGUACGGGCAGACUAGAGUGCGGUAGGGGAGACUGGAAUCCCUGGUGUAGCGGUGAAAUGCGCAGAUAUCAGGAGGAACACCGGUGGCGAAGGCGGGUCUCUGGGCCGUAACUGACGCUGAGGAGCGAAAGCGUGGGGAGCGAACAGG